rnacentral:rRNA from 1 species
CAGUAGCCGCGGGAAUACAGAGGGUGCAAGCGUUAAUCGGAAUUACUGGGCGUAAAGCGCGCGUAGGCGGUUACUCAAGUCAGAGGUGAAAGCCCGGGGCUCAACCCCGGAACUGCCUUUGAUACUGUCGAUCUGGAGUAUGGAAGAGGUGAGUGGAAUUCCGAGUGUAGAGGUGAAAUUCGUAGAUAUUCGGAGGAACACCGAUGGCGAAGGCAAUCCCCUGGGCCUGCACUGACGCUCAUGCACGAAAGCGUGGGGAGCAAACAGGAUUAGAUACCCCUGUAGUCCCUGUCUCUUAUAU